GCAGAGUUUGUGAGUGGUCAGCCUGGGGACAGUGAGACUGAGAUGCGCGUUCACGAGACUACUCCAUUUUUUUCUUUCAGCCUUUGAAUGAAUACAACGUUGCCCGGUUGGAAUAUUAUCGCUAUUUUAUGAGAAAAAUAGCAUAAAAAUUGAUUUUAAACAGCGUUUGACAUGCUUCUAAGUACGGAAUAUUUUGAAUUUUCUUGUCACGAAAUGCGCUCGUGCGUCACCCUUUCGGAUAGUGACCUGAACGCACAAACAAAACGGAGCUAUUUGAAUAUAACUAUGGAUUAUUUGGAACCAAAACAACAUUUGUUGUUGAAGUAGAAGUCCUGGGAAUCCAUUCUGAUGAAGAACAGCAAAGGCAGAGCUCCAAGCCUCAUGGACAGAAGGAUGGCGACUGUUUGUGUCUUUUCUCCCAUUCUGCCCAGAUUUGGCCACGAGUGUCUCCUUCUCUCUCUCUCUCUCUCUCUCUCUCUCUCUCUCUCUCUCUCUCUCUCUCUCUGUCUGUCUGUCUGUCUGUCUGUCUGUCUGUCGACUGAAAAUGUGUCCUCUCUCAGGAAUCCUCCUGUAGAGCAGUGAUGUCUCAGGUUAGAGAUGUACCAAGUUAAGUCUCCAGCAGGACAAGUUGACUGUGGAAACCUCUGCAGCUGACACCAGCUCUUCCCAGAAGGAUUAUAAGCAAAAAGGGAACUUGAUUGAGGAUGUAUUCACUUCUGCAACAUCGGGCUUAGGAAGAGUUGCAAGAAAGAGGACCGAAAGCAGACCAAUGACCAGACCCAAACUCCCCCCCCCACCUGAACAAGAUGCCCGGUUGAGGCGGCUACCGAGGACUGAGCAGCUAAUCGCCGGGGAGCAGCAGAAGCAGCAACAGCAACAACAACCACCAGACUAGAAACCAUGACCCACCUGGAAUUUAGCAGGGCAGUACUCCAGAGAGGUAGGGGCUUUGUGAAGUCUGACCUGAACUGCCUGGUGAAACUCGCAGGACCACCAGAAUCAUAUGAAGCCAGUUUCAAGAUCCCCCAGUUACUAGAACAGUUUUGGUUAAAAUUCAGAAACACCCUUUCCGACACAGAAUCCAAGGUAGUUACUGUACAGCUCCACAAUGAAUGCCUCCAGGACUAUCACCACCCUCAAGUCAGUGUCUAGGAGGGUCCUGGAUGAAGACAACAUCUGGACUGGGGAACAAAAAUGGCUGGUCCAGUUAAGACUGGAUCUAACCGGAGUUGGCAGAGUCCAUCACCUCCCAAGCACCAUCACGCUGCAUGGGUAACAACAGAAACUCCGUCCACUACUACAGCAUGCCCAAACUGUGCAGGAACUGCAGCCAACUGGGCCAUCUGGCCGCAUCCCGAACAGCUUUCAUCUCAAGAGUUGUAAAGACAAUCAUCCCACCUCAGACUUUACUUCCACAUGCCCCUGCAACCUGUGUGGUAAAGGGGGCCACUUCUUCAGAACCUGCCCUAGUUUCUAUGCCGGUAAGCCAAGGGCUAAUGCCACCAAAGCCCAAACCCACCAACCUCCAACCCCUUCACAAAACAACAACAACGAAGACUCAGAACCAGUCCCAGACCUUUCCACAGGCUUCAACCAACCCACCACCCAAUACGUCCCAGAAAUGGCUCCCACCCCUGUCAACACAUCAAGAUAUCCCAGAAACAGUCCCCAAUGCCACCUCUGUCCCCCUCCAACAAAUCCUUUCCUAGCCAACUUCACCCUCUCCAAACCCCUGGUCAAAGGGGAGCCGGUUUCGAGUUAGGCCAUAGAACCGGAAGAACCACUCGCCUCACAACUCCAAAAUGACCAAAUGGAAAAGACUAGAAAAACAGCAGAUCAACAAGAGACCAGACCAUAAAAACACCCCAGAACCCAAACCACACCGCCAGCAAGAAUGACCCUCAAAACCCCCUAUCCCCUCCAAGAAACCAUCUCCCCCUCCUAAACCCAUCGAUAUAUCACCCCCCCAUCCAUUACUUCAUCUGAUAUCUUCUCCCUGCCCCUUACUGCCCCAUAUCCUCCCUCCCACCACCAACUGCCCUUGACCCCUCUACCAUUACCCCUACUACCCCUGACUCUUCCCCCCUGCUCCUUAGAUCCAACCCCCCUUAGCGCUGCCUGGCCCUGAUCCCGCAGAGCAGUAAACCAGCCAGCCUCAGUCCAAACCCCCAAACACUCUGAGCCACCUUCACCCCUCAUGUCACCCUCCAUCCCUCCACCCAGUCAGUACAGGGGGCCACCAGUCAGUCAGUGGGGCAGCAUGUCAACAUCCUGUGAACAGCCAAGAAUCACCCAACAACACAAACGACUCGCUAGAGGCCCUCAUCCACCUCCCAUACCCCUGCUUCUUCACCAUCCAUUUCCCCCUUCCUCCUCCUACACUUAUCCCUCUCACAGAACCAGACCAGGAACCAUUCAUCACCACGCCAGAAGAGGAAGGAACAAAGGUAUAGACAUAUGCUCGGAGCAAGCAGGCCACAGAGGAGUACCAUCACUGACCUCUGAGUCUUGGGCUUCCAGUUGUCUCUGCUCGCUCCUUUGGUUGUUCUUCCUCCCCUCUUCAAAUCCAGUACCAGUCCCAGCACCAACCCAGUUCUUGGUUUCUAGUACCAGACCUGCCAGACGAGGCCUGGAGGAGGGACAAAAUAU
rnacentral:lncRNA from 1 species